rnacentral:rRNA from 1 species
UACGGGGGGGGCAAGCGUUGUUCGGAAUUACUGGGCGUAAAGGGCUCGUAGGCGGCCAACUAAGUCAGACGUGAAAUCCCUCGGCUUAACCGGGGAACUGCGUCUGAUACUGGAUGGCUUGAGUUUGGGAGAGGGAUGCGGAAUUCCAGGUGUAGCGGUGAAAUGCGCAGAUAUCAGGAGGAACACCGGUGGCGAAGGCGGAUCUCUGGGCCUUACCUGACGCUCAGGUGCGAAAGCUAGGGGAGCGAACAGG